GCGGUGGAGGCCAACCGGUAAGGCAUCAGCUUCCCAUGCUGACAUCAGCGGGUUCGAUUCCCGUCCACCGCU
rnacentral:tRNA from 1 species